CUGAUGAUUGUGCAAUCAUGCACUGGCCAUUCUUUUGCAUGAUUGUUUUUAUCAUAAAAAAAUACGUGUGGGAAAUCUGUAUAGAAUUUACUGAAAAUUAUUAAGUUUUAUAAAACAAGACCUAUUGAGGAAAGGCUAAUUGUACUGAUAUUGCUUAGUCUAAAGAGGAGAUAGAAAUAAUUGAAUAAUAACUCUCAGUUAUGAUGUAUUUAACAUAGAGGAGACAACUGGGCAUUUUCUGGCACCAGUGAGCACUAGUUUAAAAUGCCAUAGGAAAUGUAGAUUCAGUAAUAGAAAAAUUUCUUGAGGGUGAAAGAUACUAAAUAAUGAAAUAUUUCUUCAAGUGGCUGUGACAAUUCCUCAACAUCAUCUUUCCAAAUUUCUUUAACAGUGAUUCCUCUUGAAUGCCAGAGAAUAGACUAUUUGGCUCAUCAAGGUACUCUCCUACCCACAGGAUCCCAUGAAUGCCAUCAAAUAAGGAAGACUUUACUCUCGUGCAAAUGGCUACAUCAACAUGGUAUUGAUGGCAUUCUUGUGGAUUGGAUUGCAUGGGGUAAGGACUGUGUACCAUUUGUAUUUGCCCAAUAUCCUAUUCCCACUCUUCUAGACAAUAAUGCCCUUCCUUUGGGAAAUGGAGCUCAUCCCCUAUGGUUUGUUUCCUAAGCGUUUAUGGUUUCAGGUCUUAUCUUCAAGUCUUUAAUCCUUUUUGAGCUGAUUUUUGUACAUGGAGUAAAGUAGGGUCCAGUUUCAUGAUGUGUUUUUUCCUCAUUGUAUAUCGUUGCCUUCUGUGUCAUAGAUUAAUUGACCACACAAGUGUGGGUUCAUUUUUGUGCUGUCCAUUCUUUUCCAUUAACUAAGCUGUUUUUGUGCCCACACCAUAUUGUUUUGAUUGCCAUAGCUUUGUUACAUGGAUUUAAAUCAAGAAGUCUGAUGCCUCAGCAAUUCUACUCCUGGGUGUAUAUCUGAUUAAAAAAAAAAAACACUUAUUUGAAAAGGUACAUCACACAUAUUCAUAGCAGUAUUAUCUGCAAUUGCCAAGAUAUGGAGGCAACCUAAAUGCCUUUCAACAGAUGAAUGGAUAAAGAAGAUAUACAUAGUUUUUAGGGCCACACCUGUGGCAUAUGAAGUUCCCAGGCUAGGGAGUCAAACUGGAGCUGCAGCUGCCAGCCUGCACCACAGACACAGGAAAGAAGGAUCUAGGCUGCGUCUAUGACCUACACCACAGCUCACUGCAACACUGAUCCUUAACCCACUAAGUGAGGCCAAGGAUCGAACCCAAAACCUCACGGGUAGUAGUCAGAUUUGUUUCCACUAAACCACAAUGGCAACUCUGUUUUCCUGCUUUCUGGUGCUUUCAUCUGCAAUCUUAUUUCUUCUGACUGAAAAGCUAUCUUUUUGCUUUUGCUUUUUAGGUCUGUACCCAUGGCAUAUGGAGAUUCCCA
rnacentral:lncRNA from 1 species